rnacentral:rRNA from 1 species
AUGAACGCUAGCGGGAGGCCUAACACAUGCAAGCCGAGCGGUAUUGUUUCUUCGGAAAUGAGAGAGCGGCGUACGGGUGCGUAACACGUGUGCAACCUGCCUUUAUCUGGGGGAUAGCCUUUCGAAAGGAAGAUUAAUACUCCAUAAUAUAUUGAACGGCAUCGUUUAAUAUUGAAAGCUCCGGCGGAUAGAGAUGGGCACGCGCAAGAUUAGCUAGUUGGUGAGGUAACGGCUCACCAAGGCGAUGAUCUUUAGGGGGCCUGAGAGGGUGAUCCCCCACACUGGUACUGAGACACGGACCAGACUCCUACGGGAGGCAGCAGUGAGGAAUAUUGGUCAAUGGGUGCAAGCCUGAACCAGCCAUCCCGUGUGAAGGACGACUGCCCUAUGGGUUGUAAACUUCUUUUGUAUAGGGAUAAACCUACCCUCGAGAGGGUAGCUGAAGGUACUAUACGAAUAAGCACCGGCUAACUCCGUG